UUCCGUUCCGUUCCGGUCCGGUCCGGUCAGGUCGGUGGAUCGGUCGUCCGUUCAGGCAGUUUUUCCUGCUCAAAAAUUGAUGACAGCAGCAGCCCUGUAAUCGACAACAACAUUGAAGACUGCUAACUGGAAUUGCUUCGAACCAUCACCAUCACAAAC